GUGUUUGUUUGGAAGCCCCUCUAUUAAAAUCAGAACAAUACAGAGAGGAGUUCCAUGGGCCCUGCAAAAAAAAAAGAAUGACAUGCAAACUCAUGAAAAACUCCUUGUUUUA
rnacentral:snRNA from 1 species